rnacentral:rRNA from 1 species
UGAGGAAUAUUGGGCAAUGGGCGGAAGCCUGACCCAGCCAUGCCGCGUGCAGGAAGACGGUCCUAUGGAUUGUAAACUGCUUUUAUACGGGAAGAAACACCCCCUCGUGAGGGGACUUGACGGUACCGUAAGAAUAAGGAUCGGCUAACUCCGUGCCAGCAGCCGCGGUAAUACGGAGGAUCCAAGCGUUAUCCGGAAUCAUUGGGUUUAAAGGGUCCGUAGGCGGCCUUAUAAGUCAGUGGUGAAAUCU